rnacentral:rRNA from 1 species
UUUUCGGCAAUGGGGGGAACCCUGACCGAGCAACGCCGCGUGAAGGAAGAAGGAAUUCGUUCUGUAAACUUCUGUUAUAAAGGAAGAAAGACGGAAGGAGGAAAUGACAUCCGAGUGACGGUACUUUAUGAGAAAGCCACGGCUAACUAAGUGCCAGCAGCCGCUGUAAUACGUAGGUGGCAAGCGUUAUCCGGAAUUAUUGGGCGUAAAGAGGGAGCAGGCGGCAGCAAAGGUCUGUGGUGAAAGACUGAAGCUUAACUUCAGUAAGCCAUAGAAACCGGGCCGCUAGAGUGCAGGAGAGGAUCGUGGAAUUCCAUGUGUAGCGGUGAAAUGCGUAGAUAUAUGGAGGAACACCAGUGGCGAAGGCGACGAUCUGGCCUGCAACUGACGCUCAGUCCCGAAAGCGUGGGGAGCAAAUAGG